rnacentral:misc_RNA from 1 species
GUUACUAGUUGUUUGCAUGGUAGAAGAAAUAUGCCUGUUAAAUAGACCUUGGUGCGAGAGAGAGAGUGGCAAAUGGACAUUGAGCAUGUACUUCUGAGGAGUACAAAUAGCUGACCAUAAUUUAUACAUAAAUCAUAACUCCAAUUGUGGAACUAUCGGAUGUUUUAUAAUCACUUGUAGUCACUUAUUGGUUAGGCUCGCAUAGUGCAUGUUGCUUGAAUUGAGGUUCUUUGACCUUAACAUUGGUGAUGACCAAUACACCUUGAUUUUUGCUUGGAAUUUGUGCUUGCAGCCAUUAAUACGAUGCUUGUUUUCAUGUAUCAUCAUGGGAAUAUAAAAUAAGCAUUCUUCUUGUAAUUUACUACGUCAUGUGAAAACACAAACUAGAUCUACUUUCAACUUGUAUUUUGAAUUGGUAUCAUAGGUCUUGGUCUGUCAUCCAAUUUGUCUUUCGAUGGCUCUUCAAACUGUUGACAUAGAUUAGCCUUCAUGUGUUAUAUACUGGUGCGCCUAGAGUCCAAGCACCAUGGUUGGUUAUGUCUGUCCAUGUCUUGCCACAUUAUUGCUGUUCUGUCCAGUUAUAUUAUGCUGUUCUUUUGGUUGCUCACUCUGAGUAUCUGAUGGGUUUUAAACAUUUGAAACGCAGGUCAUUGAUUAUUAUAAG